GACGAACGCUGGCGGCGUGCCUAAUACAUGCAAGUCGAACGCGUGGCGGACGGGUGAGUAAUGCUUGGGAAUCUAGCUUAUGGAGGGGGAUAACUACGGGCAACUGUAGCUAAUACCGCGUACCAUAGGAUGAGCCCAAGGGGGAUUAGGUAGUUGGUGAGGUAAAGGCUCACCAAGCCGACGAUCUCUAGCUGGUCUGAGAGGAGGACAAGCCACACUGGGACUGAGACACGGCCCAGACUCCUACGGGAGGCAGCAGUGGGGAAUAGUGCGCAAUGGGGGCAACCUGAAGCAGCCAUGCCGCGUGAAUGAAGAAGGCCUUCGGGUUGUAAAUUUCUUUCGGUAGCGAGGCGUUAACUACAGAAGAAGCACCGGCUAACUCCGUGCCAGCAGCCGCGGUAAUUC
rnacentral:rRNA from 1 species